GAUGAACGCUGGCGGCGUGCCUAAUACAUGCAAGUCGAGCGAACAGGCGAGGAGCUUGCUCCUCUGACGUUAGCGGCGGACGGGUGAGUAACACGUGGAUAACCUACCUAUAAGACUGGGAUAACUUCGGGAAACCGGAGCUAAUACCGGAUAAUAUAUUGAACCGCAUGGUUCAAUAGUGAAAGACGGUUUUGCUGUCACUUAUAGAUGGAUCCGCGCCGCAUUAGCUAGUUGGUAAGGUAACGGCUUACCAAGGCAACGAUGCGUAGCCGACCUGAGAGGGUGAUCGGCCACACUGGAACUGAGACACGGUCCAGACUCCUACGGGAGGCAGCAGUAGGGAAUCUUCCGCAAUGGGCGAAAGCCUGACGGAGCAACGCCGCGUGAGCGAUGAAGGUCUUCGGAUCGUAAAACUCUGUUAUUAGGGAAGAACAAAUGUGUAAGUAACUAUGCACGUCUUGACGGUACCUAAUCAGAAAGCCACGGCUAACUACGUG
rnacentral:rRNA from 1 species